AGGGGCAUAGUACAACGGCUAGUAUAUGGGUCUCCAAAACCUAAGAUCGAAGUUCGAUUCUUCGUGCCCCUGCCA
rnacentral:tRNA from 1 species